AGCUCCAAUCGCGUAUAUUAAAGUUGUUGCAGUUAAAAAGCUCGUAGUUGGAUUUCUGGUAGGAGCGACCGUGCCGAACUUGAUUGUUCGAGUAUUGUGUUGUCUUCAGCCAUCCUCGUGGAGGACUUUUCUAACAUUAACUUGUUGGGAUUGGGACCCGCGUCGUUUACUGUGAAAAAAUUAGAGUGUUUAAAGCAGGCAUUAGCUUGAAUACAUUAGCAUGGAAUAAUAAGAUAGGACUUUGGUACUAUUUUGUUGGUGUGCAUACCAAAUUAAUGAUCAACAGGAACAGUUUGAGGAUAUUCGUAUGAACAUGUCGGAGGUGAAAUUCUUGGAUUUUGAUCAGACGAACUACUGCGAAAGCAUUUAUCAAGGAUGUUU
rnacentral:rRNA from 1 species